UGGGGAAUAUUGGACAAUGGGCGCAAGCCUGAUCCAGCCAUGCCGCGUGAGUGACGAAGGCCUUAGGGUUGUAAAGCUCUUUUGGCGGGGAAGAUAAUGACGGUACCCGCAGAAUAAGCUCCGGCUAACUUCGUGCCAGCAGCCGCGGUAAUACGAAGGGAGCUAGCGUUGUUCGGAAUCACUGGGCGUAAAGCGCACGUAGGUGGGCAGUUAAGUCAGGGGUGAAAGCCCGAGGCUCAACCUCGGAAUUGCCUCUGAUACUGGCUGUCUAGAGUUCGAGAGAGGUGAGUGGAAUUCCUAGUGUAGAGGUGAAAUUCGUAGAUAUUAGGAAGAACACCAGUGGCGAAGGCGGCCAACUGGCUCGAUACUGACGCUGAGGUGCGAAAGCGUGGGGAGCAAACAGGAUUAGAUACCCUCGUAGUCCCUGAGCGGGCUGGCAAGGCG
rnacentral:rRNA from 1 species